rnacentral:rRNA from 1 species
AUCUACCUUCGGGACGGGGACAACAGCUGGAAACGGCUGCUAAUACCCGAUAUGCCGAAAGGUGAAAAGUUUUUUCGCCUGGAGAGGAGCUCGCGUCCGAUUAGCUAGUUGGUGAGGUAAAAGCUUACCAAGGCGACGAUCGGUAGCUGGUCUGAGAGGAUGAGCAGCCACACUGGAACUGAGACACGGUCCAGACUCCUACGGGAGGCAGCAGUGGGGAAUUUUCCGCAAUGGGCGAAAGCCUGACGGAGCAACGCCGCGUGGGGGAAGAAGGUUUUUGGAUUGUAAACCCCUUUUCUCAAGGAAGAACAAAAUGACGGUACUUGAGGAAUCAGCCUCGGCUAACUCCGUGCCAGCAGCCGCGGUAAUACGGAGGAGGCAAGCGUUAUCCGGAAUUAUUGGGCGUAAAGCGCUCGUAGGCGGCUGUUCAAGUCUGCUGUCAAAGACCGAGGCUCAACCUCGGGUCGGCAGGGGAAACUGAAUAGCUAGAGGUCGGUAGGGGCAGAGGGAAUUCCCAGUGUAGCGGUGAAAUGCGUAGAUAUUGGGAAGAACACCGGUGGCGAAAGCGCUCUGCUGGGCCGAACCUGACGCUGAGGGACGAAAGCUAGGGGAGCGAAUGGGAUUAGAUACCCC